rnacentral:rRNA from 1 species
UACGGAGGGUGCAAGCGUUAUCCGGAAUCACUGGGUUUAAAGGGUGCGUAGGCGGCGUGAUAAGUCAGAGGUGAAAGCUCACCGCUUAACGGUGGAACUGCCUUUGAUACUGUCAGGCUUGAAUCAGCACGAGGCAGGCGGAAUGUGGCAUGUAGCGGUGAAAUGCUUAGAUAUGCCAUAGAACACCGAUUGCGAAGGCAGCCUGCCAGAGCUGUAUUGACGCUGAGGCACGAAAGCGUGGGGAGCGAACAGG